rnacentral:rRNA from 1 species
CGCAGCCGCGGUAAUUCCAGCUCCAAUAGCGUAUAUUAAAGUUGUUGCAGUUAAAAAGCUCGUAGUUGAAUUUCGGGAUUAGUACGCUGGUCGUGCCUUUGGUAUGUACUGGUGUUACUGGUUCCUACCUUCUGACGAACCGUCAUGUCAUUAAUUUGGUGUGGCGGGGAAUCAGGACUGUUACUUUGAAAAAAUUAGAGUGUUUAAAGCAGGCUCGCGCUUGAAUACAUUAGCAUGGAAUAAUGAAAUAGGACGUUCGAUCCUAUUUUGUUGGUUUCUAGGAUUGACGUAAUGAUUAAUAGGGAUAGUUGGGGGCAUUAGUAUUCAAUUGUCAGAGGUGAAAUUCUUGGAUUUAUUGAAGACUAACUACUGCGAAAGCAUUUGCCAAGGAUGUUUUCAUUAAUCAAGAACGAAAGUUAGGGAUCGAAGACGAUCAGAUACCGUCGUAGUCUUAACCAUAAACUAUGCCGACUAGGGAUCGGAUGAUGUUAUUUUUAAUGUACUCAUUCGGCGCCUUACG